AUUGAACGCUGGCGGCAUGCCUUACACAUGCAAGUCGAACGGCAUCGCGGGAAAGCUUGCUUUCCUGGCGGCGAGUGGCGAACGGGUGAGUAACACAUCGGAACGUACCGGCUAGUGGGGGAUAACCCGUCGAAAGACGGGCUAAUACCGCAUACGCUCUUAGGAGGAAAGCAGGGGACCUUUGGGCCUUGCGCUAGCCGAGCGGCCGAUGUCCGAUUAGCUAGUUGGUGGGGUAAAGGCCUACCAAGGCGACGAUCGGUAGCGGGUCUGAGAGGACGAUCCGCCACACUGGGACUGAGACACGGCCCAGACUCCUACGGGAGGCAGCAGUGGGGAAUCUUGGACAAUGGGGGCAACCCUGAUCCAGCAAUGCCGCGUGGGUGAAGAAGGCCUUCGGGUUGUAAAGCCCUUUCGGCAGGGAAGAAAUCGGCGGGGCGAAUAACCCUGCUGGAUGACGUACCUGCAGAAGAG
rnacentral:rRNA from 1 species